rfam:Triticum aestivum genome assembly, contig: Triticum_aestivum_CS42_TGACv1_scaffold_031414_1BL
AUGGUAUUCCCUCCGUUCCAAAAUUCUUGUUUUAGAUUUAUCUAAAUACGGAUAUAUCAAGUCACGUUUUAGUAUUUGGUACAUCCGUAUCUAGACUAAUCUAAAACAAGAAUUUUAGGAUGAAGAGAAUACGAU